UACGUAGGGAGCAAGCGUUGUCCGGAAUCAUUGGGCGUAAAGCGCGUGUAGGCGGCCCGAAAAGUCUGGUGUGAAAACUUGAGGCUCAACCUCAAGCUGUCGCUGGAUACUGUCGGGCUUGGAAGUCCGGAAGAGGAGUGUGGAAUUCCGUGGAUGUAGCGGUGGAAUGCGCAGAUAUCAGGAGGAACACCAAUGGCGAAGGCAGCACUCUGGUACGUGAUUGACGCUGAGACGCGAAAGCGUGGGGAGCAAACAGG
rnacentral:rRNA from 1 species